GCCUGGGUGGUUCAGUGGUUGAGCAUCUGACUUCAGCUCAGGGUGUGAUCCUGGGGUCCUGGGAUCGAGUCCUGCACCAGGCU
rfam:Canis lupus familiaris chromosome 18, whole genome shotgun sequence.